rnacentral:rRNA from 1 species
GACGUAGGGGGCUAGCGUUGUCCGGAUUCAUUGGGCGUAAAGCGCGUGUAGGCGGCCAGGUAGGUCGGAUGUGAAAACUGGAGGCUCAACCUCCAGCCGUCAUCCGAAACCAUCUGGCUAGAGUCCGGAAGAGGAGAGUGGAAUUCCUGGUGUAGCGGUGAAGUGCGCAGAUAUCAGGAAGAACACCUAUGGCGAAGGCAGCUCUCUGGGACGGUACUGACGCUGAGACGCGAAAGCGUGGGGAGCGAACAGG